rnacentral:lncRNA from 1 species
UGCUCCAGACCCAGACAACUCUUGGUUGGAUGGUGCGGAGGUGAGGGCCGUCCAGUCUGGGGGCCAACUUCUCGUCCCUGCUGCCCCCGGCCCCCGCCUCCCUCACCCCUGUCCCCCACCCUCCCUCGCACACUCUCGGCGCGGCUUUCUGGCUCCCUCCGGCGCCUCUGAGCGCUCCCCUCCGCCGGGCUCCAGCAGCCCACCCUCUCUGUCUUGGGUGGAGGCGCACAUCCUCCACGCCCCCUCCACUCAAAUCUGCGCUCCCUCCCCUCUCUCUCCCUGCAGCCCGGCCGCAGCCCGGGGCGCGGAUGCCUGCCCGCCGCCCGCCCUCUCUGCAGGAGGGGCCGCGCGGCUCCCAGCGAGACCCCAUCCAGGCGCCGCCCCCGGCCAGGCUGGGGAGCGCAGAGGAUAAUUCCACCCUUUGACAUGACAUUCAGAAGCCUUUGUGAUCUGGCUUUUACUUCAGUCCUCC